CUGGGAAAGAGAUUGUGGAAAAGGCAAGUAGAGAAUAAAAUGGAAGGACUCAUGCUGUAUUGAUAACUUUCGACUGGUUUAGUUAUUUAAACAAGAAAACCAAACCGUUUGAUUUUUUAAAAUUACAUUAUUAGUGGUUUGCCUGAACUGACUAGCUAUUUGGUCAAAAAGAGUGGAUAAAUUGUGGGUAUGUAGACAAGAUACAUAUAGUAUGCUGAUGAAAGUCACACAUUCUUAUUGCUGGUUCAGUUUAGAUGCUCAAUAACGCACAGCUGUGAUGUCUCUUGUCCAAUAAUCAUGGGACUGCUCCUGUUGCCAACUUUGCCUGUAGUUCACCAAAGUCAAGUUGCCCAAGGAGAAGCUGGACUUCGCAGAUAGUCAGUGGCAGAGCUGGGUUCAACCCUGGAUCUGGCUGACUUGAAUCCUGUUCACAUUCUUUUCUCCACUCUGCCUUAUUUGCUGUCACAUCUUGGCUGGCAGGCACAGAGUCAAACCUGACAGGGACCGUGAAAAGCCGGGAGUUUUCAGCCUGCUAGGCAAGCGGCAGUGCCAUAGAGAUAGACCUCAGAUGCUUGCUGCAUUCUCCGGGUGGACCGUGGGAGCCUUCGAACCUGGAGCCCAGGCCUUGCUGCAGCUGCUGUGCUUAUACUCCUC
ensembl:lncRNA